UUUGGGGGAAAAAAAUUACCUAGGGCUAGUUGAUGAUGGCCCCCUUUGCUUUUAUCCGUACCUGCAUAAAGGGCAAGAGGAGCCAGUGAGCUGGUGUGGCUGGUGAGAUUUAUGUGUUUUUCCUUUUCUGUGAAUGAUCAGUGAGCACAACGAGACUUGCACAGUACACACAGCGUGUUCCUUAUCUACAGGAUGAGACGAGGUUGUUUUAAUAACUACCAUGAUGAAGAUGGAGAUGAACUUAUAUACAAGAGGAAUUGCCUUCACAUUACACACAUUAUCUUCCUACAAAGCAGCAAUUGUUUUUUGCAAAUAACAUAAUAUUAAAUAAUUGGUAGAA